GGACAACGGAUUUUAUUAAACACUACUGGGGUUUAUACGGGUACUGAAAAACUGUGACUCUGUAGUACCCGACCAUCUGUUCCGCUGGACAGCGGCUGGUGGAGUCAGCAGCCGCCUCAGACACCUCUCCCGACUGCGGUCGUUCACUGUCUGUGGCGUAAACCCUGAGAUCAUCACCCUCCCUACUCCCAGGCCUUCCCCGUUUCAUUAUUUCUAUCAAAGGGAGUUGGGGCUGGGCCUGUGGGUGCACAGCACCUUGGACCUUCGGCUUCAUGGUGUCUUCCUUAUCUUCUCAGAACUUGGGCCCAGGUCACUUAGGUGUGUCAAUCACUUAGGAGCUAGUAUGACGUUUAUCAGCCCUAAAUUUACAGCCAUCUCCCUGCCCUUCAAGGCCGAAGACUGCCAGACGAGAGCAGGCCGCUUUCAGGGUUUGCAGGGCCGUUCAGCGGUGUUCACGGCGCUCCCCUCCAGACCCCUUGGCGCGGCAUCCGGAAGCCUUCCGUCGCUGUGUAAGCCCGCACCGCCGCGGAUUCCAGGGCCUCGCAGGACACACGCGUGACGGUCAGGGCACUACCCGCGCGGGGUCGCCCGUGCCCUCCCUCGUCCCAGCGCGCAGCAGCCACCAGCUCUCGGAACCGUGGGCAGGGCUGAGCGGGGCAGGCCCGGCAGGCCUGUCAGCCCGCGCGCCGCUCCCUGGCUCAGCUGCCCUGCCGGCCGCGCUCGCCUCUGCUAGCCCUGAAGUCCAUCCGCGCCCUGCUGCUCCAGGCCCGCGCCCCGCCCCUCCGGCUCGGAGCCGCCCCGGGGCGGUGGGAUGCAGGGAGGGCUCUCCGGAGGGGCCCGGAGUCCUGGCCCUCAGCCGCGGCCUCUAAGGCCGAACGAGGCUGCAAUCAGCAGAGGCCAAAUGAAAACAGCCCGCGGAGAGGGCGGAGGCGGGGACCGGGCAGCCGCGGGUCUCGAGGAGCGAGGAGCUGCGGGCAGAGGGCAGGUUGCGCUCCCCCCCGCCCUGCGCUCCCUCCGGGUUACCCUCGCUCGGGAGAGCCGGGUCCGGGCGGAAGUCGCAGGCGGGCGGCUCGGCGCUGCUGUUCCAGGUCUCCGCUUGGGAUGCGCGGCGGAGGCCAACGGCUGCGCGCGCCUUCCAGCCCUCGCGUCUCCUAGCAACGCAGGGCGGGGGCGUGGCUCGGUGGGCCCUGCCCUGCUCGCGCAAGCUCCGCUCACACGGGUGGCCCUCUGUGCGCACGCGCAAGGCGUGGGCGUGGCCACGGGGCUGCUUAGCCAAGUCGGAGGAGACCCAGAGACCCGAGGUUGGCUGGUGCGCGCCUGGCGCCUCGCGUCUGAGCUCGGGGGGGGAGUAGAAGGUGCUGUUCGCUCCUGAAACCCCAGACCGAGUCCCUAAGAAAAUGGAUAAGAUCGCUGGGAUUGCUGGGACUCAACCUUCCAGGCCUCUCCCCCACUGAACAAGGAAAGAAGUUUAUCCUUCCGCACCCGCCCCUUCAGCAGAGGACACCUGAGGCCCUCUUUGUCCUGGCUUCCUUACUCGUCGCAGCAAAACCUCGGCUGUGCAGCCCUCACCCAAGCCCAGGCACCUGCAGCCCCCACUGCCUGUUGCGGUGGAACCUGGAGGUCUCCUGCCCUCGCGGCCCCAGUCCUCUGCACAGUCAGCGAUCCGUUGGAAACCCAG
ensembl:lncRNA